rnacentral:lncRNA from 1 species
CAUCCACAGCUCAGACCUGUGGCAGCUGAAGACCUGCGGGUUGUGGGCUCAAACCCCGCUUGCUGUACUCUUGAGCGAGGUGCUUCACUCAGGUCGUCCCAAAAACCCGAUAUUCAGAGAAAAUUGUUUUCAACACCUUUCAACGUUCAACGUUCAAGAGGACACAGAUCUCGAGAUCUUCAUUCUUUCUCCAUUGCCAGUAAUAAUUAUUGCGGAAGACGUCUGUUUUUAACCCCACAUUAAGAAAACUUCAUAUUUCUGGAUAACUAGGAAAAAUAAACGACUGCCUGGUUU